rnacentral:rRNA from 1 species
AUGGCUCAGGAUGAACGCUAGCUACAGGCUUAACACAUGCAAGUCGAGGGGUAGCAGGGUAGCAAUACCGCUGACGACCGGCGCACGGGUGAGUAACACGUAUCCAACCUUCCCAUAACUCAGGGAUAGCCUUUCGAAAGAAAGAUUAAUACCUGAUAGUACUUUUUCAAGGCAUCUUGAGAAGUUAAAGAUUUAUUGGUUAUGGAUGGGGAUGCGUUCCAUUAGAUAGUUGGUGAGGUAACGGCUCACCAAGUCUUCGAUGGAUAGGGGUUCUGAGAGGAAGGUCCCCCACAUUGGUACUGAGACACGGACCAAACUCCUACGGGAGGCAGCAGUGAGGAAUAUUGGUCAAUGGGCGAGAGCCUGAACCAGCCAAGUAGCGUGAAGGAAUGAAGGUCCUAUGGAUUGUAAACUUCUUUUAUAGUAGAAUAAAGUGAUCCACGUGUGGAUUUUUGUAUGUAUACUAUGAAUAAGGAUCGGCUAACUCCGUGCCAGCCGCCGC